rnacentral:rRNA from 1 species
UACAGAGGUCCCAAGCGUUACUGAGAAUCACUGGGUUUAAAGGGUGCGUAGGUGGUCCGUUAAGUCAGUUGUGAAAUCCCCGGGCUCAACCCGGGAACUGCUUCUGAUACUGGCGGACUUGAGGCCAGUAGGGGUCACUAGAACUGACGGUGGAGCGGUGAAAUGCGUAGAUAUCGUCAGGAAUGCCGGUGGUGAAGACGGGUGACUGGGCUGGUUCUGACACUGAGGCACGAAAGCAUGGGGAGCGAACGGG